AUCUGUUAUUCUGUUAGGACACACGAGAGGAAAGGGCUACCCAUUGAGGUGGAGCCGCCCAAGUGUGGACUUUUGAUUUGAUUUCUGUAUGAGAACUCCCUUAUUGAUUCGCUUAUUAUGAUCAAUUACUAUUUUCUAAUUAAGAAAUUACUUUAAUAAUAAUGUUAUACGGUCUCAUGUGGAUUAUAAAUGUAUUGUCUAGUCACUGAGUUGCAAAACUCAUUCCGUUUUUCUAAAAAUAUUUUUCAGGAAUAAAUACUUGAAUAUGUGAGCUCUCUAUCCAAGAAUUAUGAUCUACAAUAGGUAUUUGUUCCUUGUUGAGUUCCUAGACGUUGUAUGCUCCAUAUGUCACAGGCAGGAUCCACUCAUAUUUAUUUUAUUUUUUGUUUGUUAAAAAUAUGUAAUUAUUCAUUUUAAACAUUGUAAAUUUAUUUCAAAUAUUUGUAAUUUUCUUAUUCAACUUAUAUUUGAGUCGGUUAGGCUUGCUUGGGGAUUAUUUUCCUAAGCGCCGAUCAUGGCUCAUUUUGGGCCGUGACAUUAGAUUUUUGUAUGUUUUCACAAUAUU